GCAAACACACCUUUAGACGGAAAGUGAAACGAAAAAAUAAAAACAAAAACGGUGGAAAAACGGGAAUUCUUCCCUCCAUUUAGCUGCUGAUGCAAGUGAUUCUUUCAACAUUUAUCAUUUUUUCCAUUGACUUAUUCUUUUUUUACGAAAAAAAAAAAAAAAGGAUGGACGGAACCUUAAAAAACCCUCCGUUUUUUUUUCCUCUUUGUAAUUCAAAACUUAUGACCAUUUUUGCAAAAAAAAA
rnacentral:ribozyme from 1 species